AUAUCAUCAUCAUCGCACAUUUAAAGUGCCGGCAAAAACCAAGUUGCGUCACUGGUAAGAAAGCAUGUCAACAAAGGAAGAUCCGAUAUAUUUGGAUUACAAUGCCACAACACCUGUAGCACCAGAAGUCGUAGAAGCAAUCGCCGACACUUUAAAAAAUGCCUGGGGUAAUCCAAGUAGUAAAUAUGUUGCAGGAAAGAAGGCAAAAAUGGUUGUCGAAACUGCUCGUAAAAAUGUUGCAGAAAUGAUCGGAGCUAAAGAAUCAGAUAUUAUAUUUACAUCGGGAGGUACCGAGGGCAACAAUCUAGUCAUACAUUCAGCAAUCCAGUAUUAUCAUAACAACAAUGCAGUUAAUAGCCAAAAUACAACAAAAAGAAGAAAAUUCUUACCCCAUAUCAUCACUACAAAUAUAGAACACGAUUCUAUUGCGUUACCGCUUAAACAUCUGUCGGAAAAAGGUAUUGUAGAAGUUACAUUCAUACCCGUCUCAAAACAAACUGCGGCCGUAGAAGUGGAAGAAGUAACGAAAGAAAUUCAGCCAAAUACCUGUCUCAUCACAGUCAUGCUGGCUAACAACGAAACUGGAAUUAUACAGCCGAUAUCGUUACUGGGGAAGAAAAUACAGCAGCUGAAUUGUCAACGAAGCCAGCUUUCCUCUUCGUUGCCGCCAAUUUUAUUUCACACCGAUGCCGCACAAGCACUAGGUAAAAUCCCCGUGAACGUAGACGAUCUGCAUGUUGAUUUUCUAACCAUCGUAGGUCACAAGUUUUAUGGACCGAGAGUGGGAGCAUUGUAUUUUAAUUCGGACAAAGACAAAAUACUUUAUCCAAUGUAUUUCGGGGGAGGACAAGAGAGAAGUUACAGACCCGGGACAGAAAAUGUUGCGAUGAUUGCAGGUUUAGGAAAGGCAGCAGAAUUAAUUGUAAGAAAUUUAGACAUUUAUCAGAAAAAUAUGACAAAAUCUAGAGAUCACUUGGAAAAUAAAUUGAAGGAGGCGUUCGGAGAGUUGGUAAGUUUUAAUAAUCACGGAAAAGCUGAGAGACUCCCCAAUACCUGCAGUGUGGCAUUUACCAACAACAAAAUGAAAGGCCAAGAUAUCUUAGAAAAAACGUGCACGAUUCAAGCAAGCGUGGGAGCGGCUUGUCAUAGUAACAAUAGCAAACAGUCCAUACUGAUUGCGUCGGGAAUUCCGAGAGAAUUGGCGGAAAGCACUCUGAGACUGACGACGGGACGAGACACGAGAGACGAAGAUAUCGAUAGAGCCGUAUCUGAUCUGAGGAAAACCGUGCGAAAUAUAUAUAAUUUAUGAUGAUUCGUAUUGAAUUAUAUAAUGAAUUUAUUAUUUAUACACAUAUAAAUACAACAAAAUGUUCCUAAAAGAAAUUGUUGACUUGAUACAGCAUUGAUAAAGUAAACACGCAAAUGCUCUAUGAUGUGGGGAUACGUUUCAACUGUGAGUGUGGCAUAAUGGCAAAAUAUUCAUAAAAAGUGUUUCUAACCUUUACUUUUUGGAUAUUAACACGUUUCCCUAUAAUGUGUUAGAUGGGUUCAGCUGUAUAUAUAAGAAUUGUCAUUCGUCAUGAUCUGAAGAGAUUUGCUUUCCAAAGCAUUUAAGUGUUCGUAAAUUUAGAUUUUUACGACUCCUUGUGAUAAAUAUGUAAGGAAAUUUAAUAUAUUUGUGAAAAUUUUAUGACUAAGAUCAUAUCUGAAGUAUCUUUUGCAACUCCAAAGAUUUUAACUUGUGUUACAUAUGUCAAUAUCUGUAAGUAAUGUUAUAAAAUAUAUUUUCAAUUGGUAUCAAUGAUAAUAUAUCUAAUUAUUCAUUCGGAAAUUUAUAAAAACAUCCUUUAUGGAAAGAAAAGCCUUCUAUGUACAACUGCAUCAUGUUAUUAUAAACAGGCACUCAUUGCUCAAAUUUUUAUAUGGUUAGAUUUUGUCAUGCAGCAUUAGCCAGAAUGACCCAAUCCUUGUAGCAAGGGACGACGCUUUACAAGUGAUCACAAAUGCAGUUAUUUAUAACAUUUUUUUUCAUCUAAUUUCUAAAGUAAUAAUUCAUGCAGGUAUUAAUUAAAAAAAUCAAUUUUAUUAAAAAAUAUAUAAAUACCAAAAAUAUAUAAAUACAAAAUUGUUUU
rnacentral:misc_RNA from 1 species